CAGUAGCCGCGGUAAUACGUAGGGUGCGAGCGUUAAUCGGAAUUACUGGGCGUAAAGCGUGCGCAGGCGGUUGUGUAAGACAGGUGUGAAAUCCCCGGACUUAACCUGGGAACUGCAUUUGUGACUGUAUAGCUAGAGUACGGUAGAGGGGGAUGGAAUUCCGCGUGUAGCAGUGAAAUGCGUAGAUAUGCGGAGGAACACCGAUGGCGAAGGCAAUCCCCUGGACCUGUGCUGACGCUCAUGCACGAAAGCGUGGGGAGCAAACAGGAUUAGAUACCCGUGUAGUCCCUGUCUCUUAUAC
rnacentral:rRNA from 1 species